UACGGAGGGUGCGAGCGUUGUCCGGAAUCACUGGGCGUAAAGGGCGCGUAGGCGGCGUGACAAGUCACUUGUGAAAUCUCCGGGCUUAACUCGGAACGGUCAAGUGAUACUGUCGUGCUAGAGUACAGAAGGGGCAACUGGAAUUCUCGGUGUAGCGGUGAAAUGCGUAGAUAUCGAGAGGAACACCUGCGGCGAAGGCGGGUUGCUGGGCUGAUACUGACGCUGAGGCGCGAAAGCUAGGGGAGCGAACGGG
rnacentral:rRNA from 1 species